ensembl:lncRNA
CUUUGAAAUGUGGGUCACUACCUUUCACCAUUAGAACAGCUAGAGAGUAAUAAGAUGAUAGCCAGAACCAUGACGAGAAUCCACAAGCACCAUACAAUAUAAAGUUAAAAAAGGAAACUGAACAUACUGGAACAAAAGGAUUCUUACUUCUGACUCUCUUCUGUAUUCAUUCUUUAAUCUUCAGUAAUUGCUCUGUCCUGGUCAAGGUCAUGCUGGAUCCGGGAUCUAUCCCGGGAACACUGGGUGCGUAACCCGAGCUCAGGAUCAAACUGGGGACGUUAACAUUACUCUCUGCACCACCACAAUGUGUUUAUUGCUGUAGGGUUCAGUAAACAGCUACAAUGGCUCAACAUGAGAUUCUUUUAAUUUUAAGAACUGUUCAGUACAAAUAUUGCAGCUGAUAGAACAUCAAGUUCGAAUCACCUCAAUCACAGACAAAACAUAUGACCAACAGUAAAAACCUGUAAGAAAUUUCAGAACUGACUUUUUUUUCCCUCUAAGCAAACAUAUUACACAGAAAAUUAAGGUGAUUGAUUGGAUCAGGUUAUGUUAGAUUUUAGGAACCUAAACACUUCAAAUGACAAAAUGAUUGAAUCUGAAUAACGAUUUGAUUCAUGAUAAGAAAAACAGCAAAUAUGGUUACUGCAGGUUGUUCAUAGCGAUAUUUGACUAUAUUUCAACCCAAAGCUCUUUUGUAUGGAAUACUUUAACUGGAGCAGACAGACAUCCUGACACUGCUUUAUAUAGAUUAAGAGCUCUGAGAGAUUGCGUGAUCAAUGUAUUUAAUGUAUAAAAAUGUAGCAACGAUGUCAAAACUUUGGUUUAUCUACAGUUUGUUGGUAGUUUUGUAAGAUUUUUGUCCCGUUUUCAUUGUCAUUUACUAAUCAGCAAGUUUCCUUCUAUGAAUAAUGACAGAAAUCAUCUAGAAAAGUGAACAUAUCCUAAAUAAACUUCUUCUGGAAUUCAAUGAAUAGAUCUUGUAUGGUAGCACUUCUUGUAUUGUUCUCUGCUUGAUAUAUCGCUUUGCUUGUAUCUUUCUCAUUUGUAAGUCGCUUUGGAUAAAAGCAUCUGCUAAGUGAAUAAAUGUAAAUGUAAAUAAUUGGCAAGUGGAAAAUGCCAAUUCUGGGGAAAUAAUAUAACCAGAGCACAGAGCAGUGAACGUCUGCAGGCUUCACUUAAGGCAUCGAUACUAAAGUGCUCUGUGUUGAAAUGUAGGACAGUUGAAUAGAAUUCUGCAUAGUUGUUGCAUAGCUCUUAAGCAGAAAUUAAGCUAGGGAAGACUUCAGGAGAUUUUUUCAUGUCACUCAUAUUCAGACCCAUUACAGGGCUGUGUAAUAACAACACUACAUUACUGUGCUACAUACAGUCUAACUUUCCUUCAUUAACUAUCAGAGAACUUACAACAUGAAUUAUUAAGACUUAUGUGCAAAAACAUUGUGGCGACUCUGCAUAUGACUGGUAGCCACUGGAUGUAUGGUUUAAAAAAAAAAACAGCAAUACAGGGCAGUGUGGGAAAUAGCCACAUUCAGAUAUUUUAAAUGAAAGUUAAUGUGAAAAUGACUAGCUUACUUUCACAUUUAAACUUGUAUCCAUGUUUUUCAUUAAACUGCAACUAUAUACAGUAUAGUACAUGUAUAUUAUAUUGUGCGUAUAUAUAUAUAUAUAUAUAUAUAUAUAUAUAUAUAUA